GCCCGGGCGCAGUCGGCGUUGGCGCGGCGUGCCGCCUGGGGCGGGGCGAUGGGCUCGCUGCUGACGCAGGUCGCGCUGCUCGGUUCGGUGGCCUGGGCGC
rnacentral:tRNA from 1 species